rnacentral:rRNA from 1 species
UACGUAGGUGGCAAGCGUUGUCCGGAUUUACUGGGCGUAAAGAGCGCGCAGGCGGUCUUUUUAAGUCGAAUGUGAAAGCCCCCCGGCUCAACUGGGGAGGGUCAUUCGAUACUGAUCGACUUGAAGGCAGGAGAGGGUAGUGGAAUUCCCCGGUGUAGUGGUGAAAUGCGUAGAUAUCGGGGAGGAACACCAGUGGCGAAGGCGACUACCUGGCCUGUUCUUGACGCUGAGGCGCGAAAGCGUGGGGAGCAAACAGG